rnacentral:sRNA from 1 species
GCUGGGUGAGGUGGCGCUCACCUGUCAUCCCAGUGGCUCAGAAGGCUGAGACAGGAGGAUCGCGAGUUCCAAGCCAGCCUCAGCAAUGGUGAGGUGCUAGGCAACUCAGUGACACCCUGUUUCUA